UGUGGGUAAGCUCAUUUACUGUCUAAUCGUGUUUAUAUCAUAGAAAUUCUAAGAUAUGAAGCUCAGCAGGCAGAUGGCCAGCCAUAGUAUUGGUUAACAUGUUAGACUAACAGUCAAGUGUAUUCAUUAAAUUCAUAGGAUAUAAUGGAUUUCGAUCAUAUGCAUGUAAAUUGUUGUGUGAUUAUUUUAGCAACUCAGCCAUUUAUCUUUGAAGAGUCUGCAAAUAUUUCUUAAAUCUCAAGCACUAAGGAGUACAUGCUAUCCAAUUAAGUACACAAACUUUGAGUAAGCUUUAUUUUGAACAAAAAGAUGCAGUGGAAAUAACUGAAAGUUGACUUCAUCCUAGAAUGAUCGUACUCAAACUUUUCCAUCAUAUAACUGUUGUUGAUAGUAAUUGUAAGACUAUUUUCCUCCUUUUACCAUAAGGUAGCUGUUACCUGAUUAAAUCUUCUUUCUCUUUGCCUCAUUCUUUCUCCAUACUUCCCUAAUCCUUUUUGCUCUUUCAUUGUAGGAUAGAUAUUAGGGCUACCAUUCUUUAAGAUCGCUGGUAUAGAGAAGAAGAGUUGUUUAAUUGGAGUCUCGAGAGGAAAUGGAACUAGAAAGCUCAACGAAAGGGAUAAGCUGUAUGAAUUUUCAGAAUAUCCUUAUCCACGAAUGGAAAGAACUAAAAGACCGCUAUCAUACACAGCAAGCUGGCAAUUUAAGUCCCAGGGGAUGGAAAAACUUCGCCCUUAAAGCUGAUAGAUGCAUUAGUAAUGAGUAGAAAGACAUUGCACAAUUCUUUGCUCCUUAACUUGUCAAAGCUGAGGAAACCUCAUUCAAUUGAUUCUAUAGCUUUGAAGAUGUAUUGGAAGUUUAUGAACAAGGAGCUCCGGGUUUUCUUAAGCAUCCAAUGCAACACGUUGUGAGAGUAGUUUCUGCUGCAACAGGAAAGAAAGCUGGAUGAGGGAUUGAAAACAUUGAGGAACUUAUAAUAUGCCUUCAGCUAAGAAGCUUCUUGAAAUCCUAUUAGCUGGCGUUGGUAGUUGUAGAAGAACUGAGGAUGGGGCCUAAAGUAAUCAAGAAGCUGGAGACUUCAUCUUUAUGCAAGGAGAUGAAGGCGAGUAAUUACAUUUUGGAUGGACUCAACAACACUGCCCAAAUAAUUGCAUAGCUUCGGGUGUUAAAAUGUGACACACAGUUCAUAUGGAGCCAAAUCCUUCUACCAUGGCAAUAGAUGUAGUUAUUCCUCCACUCAAGCUGAAAAGAUCACGACUGCUUGACCGUUAUAAGGUACUUUAAGCCAAAAAUGUAUCCCUUUUCUUGUAACAAUGAUUGUUAUAUUUUUCUAUCUCACUAGUUACUGAAUAGUAACUACUUACUAAAUUAUAAUUUUGAAGUCAAAAGAGUUAAGAAACAUAUUAGGAUGAACUUUAAAAAGCCAGCUUUCUAUAUUUUAGAGCUUUUGAGAUUGAAAAAGAGAACAUUUUCUUUUGAGCAUUAGUGAUGGUUUAGGUGAUAGAAGAGAAAUUAAAGGAAAAAAAUUUAAAAAAAUUACUUCUUCUCUAACUGAGUGCUCUUUUGUGGAAGAAAGUGAACACUCUUCUUUAAUUGAGUCCGUUACUUCAUCUACGGUUUGUAGCGUACGCAAGAUGGGAAAGAAAACCAAUUCAACUCUUUGUCGGGAAAUGAGUUUCAUAAGCAUAAAAUUCCUCGGUAGUUCUUCUUUUGAGAAGACAUAGAGCACAUGUGGAUGUUGCGGACAAAAAAUGAUGCAUGGUACUUGAACAAGCUUCAGAUGAGGUGCACUCAAAUUUGUGAAGUUGGAGUUCAAAUUUGUGAAGUUGGCAUUCAAAUUUGUGAAGUUGGCUGCUCUUGAUGCUUCUUUAGUUCCUUGGUAAUUCUUUUGGUAAUCUAAUAGGCUGGUUAGUGUUAGAAUUAACUUUGAGAUGAAUGUUAUGAUUUUCCUUUGUGGAAAAGAG